rnacentral:miRNA from 12 species
CUGGGCUGAGCUGGGCUGGGCUGAGCUGGGCUGGGCUGAGCUGGGCUGGG